rnacentral:RNase_P_RNA from 1 species
GAGGGAAGCUCAUCAGUGGGGCUACGAACUGAGUGCGUUGCGUCACUCUACCCCAUGUCCCUUGGGAAGGUCUGAGACUAGGGCCAAAUAGCGGCCCUAACAGGGCCCUCCCUGAACCGCGGGGAGGUGAGUUCCCAGAGAACGGGGCUCUGCGCGAGGGCAGACUGGGCAGGAGAUGCCGAGGACCCCACCCUAGGGGUGGGGCCCGGCGGAUGCCUCCUUAGCCGGAGCUUGGAACAGACUCACGGCCAGCGAAGUGAGUUCAAUGGCUGAGUUGGGGCUGGGGUUGUAGCUCAGCAGUAGAAUGCUCACCUC